rnacentral:rRNA from 1 species
UAACGGCGAGUGAAGCGGUAACAGCUCAAAUUUGAAAUCUGGCCUCACGGUCCGAGUUGUAAUUUGUAGAGGAUGCUUCGAGCAUGGUCUGGCCUAAGUUCCUUGGAACAGGACGUCAUAGAGGGUGAGAAUCCCGUAUGCGGCCAGGUGCCUACGCUCAUGUGAAGCUCCUUCGACGAGUCGAGUUGUUUGGGAAUGCAGCUCAAAAUGGGUGGUAAAUUUCAUCUAAAGCUAAAUAUUGGCCAGAGACCGAUAGCGCACAAGUAGAGUGAUCGAAAGAUGAAAAGCACUUUGGAAAGAGAGUUAAACAGUACGUGAAAUUGUUGAAAGGGAAGCGCUUGCAACCAGACUUGCGCGCGGCCGAUCAUCCGGUGUUCUCACCGGUGCACUCGGCCGUGCUCAGGCCAGCAUCGGUUUUGGCGGCUGGAUAAAGGCCCUAGGAAUGUGGCUCCUCUCGGGGAGUGUUAUAGCCUAGGGUGCAAUGCAGCCUGCUGGGACCGAGGACCGCGCUUCGGCUAGGAUGCUGGCGUAAUGGUUGUAAGCGGCCCGUCUUGAAACACGGACCAAGGAGUCUAACAUCUAUGCGAGUGUUUGGGUGUCAAACCCAUACGCGUAAUGAAAGUGAACGGAGGUGAGAACCCUUAAGGGUGCAUCAUCGACCGAUCCUGAUGUCUUCGGAAGGAUUUGAGUAAGAGCAUAGCUGUUGGGACCCGAAAGAUGGUGAACUAUGCC